GGAUUCCCUCAGUAACUGCGAGUGAACAGGGAUUAGCCCAGCACCGAAGCCUGCGGUUAUUUGAUCGCUAGGCAAUGUGGUGUUUAGGUUGGUUCAUGGCACUACUGCUCUGCCCCAAGUCCAGCAAUGAGUACGGCUUACUGUUCUGGCCCAAAGAGGGUGAAAGGCCCGUGGGGGUAGAGAUCAAGCAUGACAGUUUUGCUGUGGGCUAACCUUGGAGUCGGGUUGUUUGUGAAUGCAGCCCAAAGUGGGUGGUAAACUCCAUCCAAGGCUAAAUACUUACACGAGUCCGAUAGCAAACAAGUACCGUGAGGGAAAGUUGAAAAGUACUUUGAAGAGAGAGUAAACAGUGCGUGAAACCGCUCAGAGGUAAACGGGUGGAGUUGAACUUUGGGCAUACUGGCCGCCUUCGGUGUCCGUCUAACUGCGGGUACCUGCCUCUAGGUAGGUAUGUGUGGUGCGCUUAUCAUGUGCUGCACGCAUUGGAGGUGUGAGGGUCUGCUUGUCAGUGCACUUUCUCAGGGUGUUCACCACGACCGGCACUGCUGCCUGUCUGCUGUGGCCAAACUGAUCAGGCCUGAUUAUCGUUGGGCUUGGUUGGGUCGGCAGGUGACUCACUGGUCCAUUCUAUGGGCUAUGAGUGUUACUAACCGGCUAUAGUGGAUCUGUGCGGUGUGUCGGAGCUGGCGGCUUUGCAUGCGUGCCCUGUCCUUCGGAUGAGGUUGAGUCUGGUCGGUUCGUUGCUAGCUUCGGCUGGCCGGCUGAUGGCUUGAUCUUGUUCAGUUGGCGGUUGCGUGUGUGAUUCUGCUUGGGCCGAUAGUCUGUGGUGUUGUGGUAGACGAUCCACCUGACCCGUCUUGAAACACGGACCAAGGAGUUUAACAUGUGCGCGAGUCAUUGGGUGUUACGAAACCCAAAGGCGAAGUGAAGGUAAAGGUUCGGCUUGUCCGGACUAAGGUGAGAUCCCGCUGUCUUGCCCAAAUUUCCAAGUUGUGAGCUGUGGGCGCAUCACCGGCCCGUCCCAUGACGUAGACAUGUGACCUCGUGUCGUGUGCACCGUCGGGGCGGAGCAAGAGCGUACACGUUGAGACCCGAAAGAUGGUGAACUAUGCUUGCGAAGGUUGAAGCCAGAGGAAACUCUGGUGGAGGACCGUAGCGAUUCUGACGUGCAAAUCGAUCGUAUAACGUGAGUAUAGGGGCGAAAGACUAAUCGAACCAUCUAGUAGCUGGUUCCCUCCGAAGUUUCCCUCAGGAUAGCU
rnacentral:rRNA from 1 species